UCAGACGAUGCGUCAUGCAUAUCAAUAAGCGGAGGAAAAGAAACUAACAAGGAUUCCCCUAGUAACGGCGAGUGAAGCGGGAAGAGCUCAAAUUUGAAAUCUUAAAGGGUUUCCCUUUACGAAUUGUAGUUUAAAGAAGUGUUUUCUGUUGAGGUUUUGGUAAAAGUUCUUUGGAAUAGGACAUCAUAGAGGGUGAGAAUCCCGUAUUUGACCUUUACUUUCAACUUUGUGAUACACUUUCAAAGAGUCGGAUUGUUUGGGAAUGCAGUCCAAAAUGGGUGGUAAAUUCCAUCUAAAGCUAAAUAUUGGCGAGAGACCGAUAGCGAACAAGUACCGUGAGGGAAAGAUGAAAAGAACUUUGAAAAGAGAGUUAAACAGUACGUGAAAUUGUCAAAGGGAAGCGUUUGACACCAGUGUUGUUUUUCUGAAAAUCAAUUAAAGAACUGUUUAUGCUAAGCUGUUUAGACUUUAUCAGCUAUCUGUUUAGUUUUGAGCUUUUCUUUAAUGCACUUUUCAGUUAACAAGUCAACAUCAAUUUCUUUUGCUGUAAAAAAGCUUGAGGAAGGUGGCUUGAGAUUCGUCCUUAAGUGUUUAUAGCCUCUUGCCUAUGCAGUCGGAGAGAUUGAGGUCUGCAGCGUAGAUCCUUCGGGGCUAAAUGCAUUUGUGCUAAGUUAUAGCAUUUCAUAGACAACUUGUUGACUAUGAUUUGUCUUGUAGCUUACUCGCUUAUGUUAUUUUACCUACGCUUAGGAUGUUGAAUCUGUGCGAGACUAC
rnacentral:rRNA from 1 species